GUUCGGCCCUCGGCAGACGGCUCAGUAACACGUAGAUAAUUUGCCCUUAGGUGGAGGAUACCCUCGGGAAACUGAGAAUAAUACUCCAUAGAUCUAGACUGCUGGAAUGCUUCUAGAUUGAAAGAUUUAUCGCCUAAGGAUAAGUCUGCGGACUAUCAGGUCGUAGUCAGGGUAAAUACCUGACUAGCCUACGACGGAUACGGGUUGUGAGAGCACUAGCCCGGAGAUGAUAUCUGAGACACGAUACCAGGCCCUACGGGGCGCAGCAGGCGCGAAAACUUCGCACUGUGCGAAAGCACGACGAGGGAAUCCCAAGUGCUGGCUCGUAAGAGUCAGCUGUUUCUUUGUCUAAAAAACAGAGAGAGUAAGGGCUGGGUAAGACGGGUGCCAGCCGCCGCGGUAAUACCUGCAGCCCAAGUGGUGGCCGCUAUUAUUGGGCCUAAAACGUCCGUAGCCGGUUCUAUAAAUGCCUGGGUAAAUUGUAUAGCUUAACUAUACAAAUACUGGGUAGACUGCUAAACUUGGGACCGGGAGAGGCUAGAGGUACUCCUGGGGUAGAGGUGAAAUUCUGUAAUCCUAGGGGGACCACCAGUGGCGAAGGCGUCUAGCUAGAACGGGUCUGACGGUGAGGGACGAAGCCCUGGGGCGCAAACCGGAUUAGAUACCCGGGUAGUCCAGGGUGUAAACGCUGCUUGCUUGAUGUUAGUUGGGCUCCGAGCCCAACUAGUGUCGGAGAGAAGUUGUUAAGCAAGCUGCCUGGGAAGUACGGUCGCAAGACUGAAACUUAA
rnacentral:rRNA from 1 species